CCUGUUUAAUCCACUGGACUAGACUUCUGUCUCUAAAAGAUUUUUUACUGCCUGAAAGUGAGUAAUACUCGGAGAGCUUACCCUGAAGAUCCACCAAGUCAUCCUCUGCAAGCCUAUCCUCAUGCUUCUGGAACUCCUAAAUUGUUACCUCCAUUGCCUCGAGCCUCCUGAAAAUAUCACCCACCUUAAACAUGUUUCAUCUCCGCAAUCGUCUCCUCAUUAGCUCCAAUCUCCGAGCCAUCCAAUAUCUAACAUCAAUGUGAACCAGUAGUCUUUAAACCUCUCUCAUAAUAUCCCA
rnacentral:lncRNA from 1 species